GGCCAGUUCUGUUUUUCAAGAUGUUAUUUUCUUUAGUAUUUUUUGGGCUUCAUUUACCAAGCUAUUAAUUCUCUUUUCAUAAUUUUCUUUAAUCUCUCAUUUCUUUUUUAAACUUCUUUUCUACCAUUCUCAUCUCUUUCUUUAACUCUUUCAGGAAUUCCUGUUGGCCUUCUGUCCAUUUCACACUUUUUUCCUUUAAAGCUUCACUUGUAGCUACUUUGACAUUGUUGUCUUCUGAGUUUUGUAUUGAUUUUCUCUAUCACCAUAGUAAAUCUUUUUAUGGUCAAAUUCUUUUUUGUGGUUUUGCUCAUUUUCCAAGCCUAUUUUUUUGACUUUUUAUGUCAAGGUUGGAUUCUACUUAUGGGAGAGUGGGAAGACAUUGUUCCAAACUUUAAAAUUUUUUAUGCUGCUAUUUUAAGAGCUUAUUCUGGGCUCUUUAAGUUUUCAGUGCUCCCAAGGUAGUAUGAUCCAAGGAUGAGCAUGGUCACUUUUCUCCUAGUCUGUACUCUCCUCUUUACCUAGGAAGGACCCUACAGCCACAAUAAGCCUUGGAACUAUUAUAAAGUUAUUGCUCCCUUGUGACUUGACCACAGGCUCUCCUCCUUUCUCUGAAACUAUGAUCUAAAACUGUGCAUGGGCAAUGGAGUUGCCAAAAAGAACGAAGUCCUUUACCCAGUGCCAGUGAAAGCCUUGUAAUCUCUUUUUGACCAGUUGUUGGGCUCCCUUACUGUUUCUGGAACUCCAGACUCAGCUACUGCUACUAUCACCAUUUUUGAGGCCCAAUGCUGCUGCUAUCAUCUUGUAUUAUGCCCAGCUGGCUCCCUCCACUUUGCCCCCCUCAAUGUCGCAUACCUUUCCUUCUAGUUGUAUUGAGCUGAAAAAAACAAAACAAAACAAAAAGUAUGACCUUUUGUUGUCUCUGCUUCUCCAGAAUUCAAUUUGACCCAUUAUUAUUAAGUUGUUUGAAGGAGAAUGUUGGGAGAGUUUUGCAGGGUGACUGCCUGUACUCCACCAUCUUGGAUCUAUCCCCACCUGAACCCAUGUUGAAAGGUUUUGUGAAGAUGAUCAGGUGUCAUUAGUGCAGCUUAGUACACUUCAAUUCCCAAAUUUCCCCCCUGCGUAAGAACCCUAUUUGGAGUGUAGAACAAAGUUCCAUCGCCUUAAGAUAAUUUCAAGAAAUCUUAUAUUUUCUUGAACACUCGUGCCUCUCUAAGCUUUAGUAUGUGUAGAAUACAAAGUAAGAUUAUUAUUCUGCAGACCAGAAUACUAGAAAAGCUCACAGGGAACCUAGGAAAAGGAAAAUUCACAAAUACCUGGAAGAAUGGGGUUUGUGGGUGGAGAUGGGUGGUGGGUAGUGGUCUCUGGGCUGGUUUGGGCAGGGCCCUUCCACAAGGAACCUACCCAAACUUCCAUGUCCUUUACGCCUUUGUACAAGUGGUAAGAAGGCGGUGGGGGGGGUGACAAUUAAAAUGAAAAAUUGCUAAGAGAAAGGAACAAAGAAAGGAAAGGGGCCCUUCCAGGUUUCAAGGUAAUGUUGCUAAAUGAAUCCAAGAUUUAAACUAAUUGGUUGUAAUCAUCUUAAGGAAAUCAAAAUUUUGAUCCACCCCCACCCCCAUUUCCUCUUUUGGGAUUUCCAUGCUUAGAGAACCUGCCCCUUUGAGUCACUGGGUUUCAGAAAUGAUAAAGUAAAUCAGAUCAAGCAGAUUUCUAAGCCUGGUUAACCCUAUGCUGACAUUUGGUCUUUUUUUUUUUAAUGACUGCCCUUGUUCCUCUCCUCUUUCUUUUUUUGAUUUUCAACCUUUUUGAUCAGGAAGUAACAAGUUGAAAUAUAGGGGUGAAACUCUAAUAUAGAACUGAAAGGGAAGGGGCAGCUAUGUGACUCAGUGGAUUGAGAAUCGAGCAAAGGGAAGGGAAGUCCUAGGUUCAAAUCUGGCCUCAGACACUUAGCUGUGUGACCCCAGGCAAGUCACAUAACUCCCCUUGCCUAGCCCUUACCGCUCUCCUGCCUUGGAACCAAUACACAGUAUAGAUUCUAAGAUGGAAGGAGUACGUGUUUAAAAAUAAACCUGAAAGGAACUUUAGAAAAAUCAUUGAGUUCAAUCUUUUCAUUUUAUAGAUGAGGAAAAUGAGGUAUGGAGAGCUUACAUCAUUUGGCCUAGGUCACCCAGCUACAAAGGUUCCAGAACCUAGAUUUGACCUCAGGUCCUUUGACUCCAAACCCAGUGUUCUGCAUUUGCUACUUGUUAACAGCUGGGUAGUAUUUAGGAUUGGUUUUCCCAUCUAUACUCUGAAAAGAUUAGACUGGGUUCAUUAAUCCCAAAUGCUUGUUAAGCCCCUGCCACAGACAAGGAAUAGGUUAAAUAAGAAUAACAGACAAAAAAUCAAAUGGUCUCUGCCCUCUAAGAGUUUAUCAGAGAAAUGUAAAUGGAUGCAGAUAAGAAAAUAGAAGGUAAUUUAAGGAGACAAUGAGCAACUAGAAAGAGGGGCGGAUGUAUCAUGGGAGAUUCUGCUUCUAAUAUCAGGUUUAGCAUUCUACAUAUAGAAAGGAUACUUUCUAUCCUUUCAGUGGCCCCCUAUUGAAUCUCAGAUAAAUAACCACUCCACAAACAGUGUGACAUUUUAAGAGCACCAGAGUUCAUCCAUAGCUUACUUCUCCAAUCUUGCUUUACCUUACUCCUCUUUAUGUCACCCACAAAGCAAAUGACUCAACAGUUCCUCAACAUGGACUUCUAUCCCUUCAUCCAAAUUGGCUGAAACUGACUCCUCCUAGAGGCCUUCCAUUCCCUCCUAAUUCUAAGUGCCUAUAACCUCCUUCAAUGAUCUUAUAAUAAUUACUUCCCCCAAUAGAGAAAGUCUUUGGGUGACCAUGGACAAAUCAGUGAUUCACAUCCUCUGAUAAUCACUUUAAUUGGCUACAAAUUGGGGACAGUCACAUCACUCCCUUUACCUUCAACAGAGGAAAGUACUUCAUGGAUAGAAGGCAGUGUGACCCAUGGAUAGGAAGCUGGCCUUGGAGUCAGGUCCCUUGGGAACAUAAUACUUCCAUGACUAUAGGCAAGUCAGUUACCCUUCUAGCAUCCCAGUCUAUAAUUUUUUUUAACUCUUACCUUUCAUCAUAGAAUAAAUACUAUAUAUUGGUUCUAAGGCAGAAGAGUGGUAAGGGCUAAGCAAUGGGGGUGGUCUAGGGUCACACAGCUAGGAAGUCUCUGAGGUCAGAUUUGAACCCAGGACCUCCCAUCUCAAGGCCUGGCUCUCAAUCCACUGAACUACCCAACUGCCACCCAGUUGCCCCUCACCCCAGUCUACUAAUUACAAUGUAGUUGUUGUUGAUCAAGUAUAUUUCCUUGAUGGGAGAGCUGUACAUUAAUGACAUUGUAAGAGAGUACAAAGAUAUGAUAUUAUUUUAGGGAAAUAUGACCUAUGCUAUAUUGCUUCAUUCAUUCAUUGGAGCUCCAUUUUUGGUUCUCCUUUUAUUGAGUCUAGAAAGAAGGAAUGGGGUUUAGAAUUCCCUCUAUUCCAUUAGCCUUCCUAGUAUAAUAGUUGCUUAAGUACAAUGCAGUUGAUUUAAAAUAACCAUGUGUGAAGAAGUGAUACACUCCAAUCCAUCCUCCAGGUUCUUUCAGGGCAAAAACUGUCUCACUUUUUGUAUUUGUUUACCCAGGGUUUAACACUGUGCUUAAUAUGUAGUCAUCAUCAAAAUACAUAUCACUUUUUCAUUCCUUUUAGUCCUUCAUUAAAUCCCUAAGUCUUCAUUUUUUUUCUUGGCAUUUGACUCUCUCUACCUUCUUUUUUUUAAACACUUACUUUCUGUCUUGGUAACAACCCUAUGACAGAAGGUACAGGAUAAUGCAAAUAGGGUUAAAUGACUUACUUAGGAUCAUAUACAUAGGAAGUGUCUGAGGCCAAAUUUGAACCCAGGACAUCCUCCUGACUCCAGCUCUGGCACUCUCAGAUGUCCCUUCCUUUUCUAGUCUUCUCUACACACUUAACUCCCCUCUGUACACUGUGAUUCAACUGUUCCAUACAUAAAACAAUUCAUCUCCUGCUAGCUUGCCUUUAUAUCAGCUUCCCCCAUGAAUGUAAAAUAUUCCUUCUUUCCUUCAUUUUUUGAAAUUUGUCAUUCUUCAAGUCUCAGCUCAAGUACAUCCUCUUUAGGGGGUUUUGCUUCGUCCCUUUAGCUCCUAGCAUGUUCUAUCCCAAGCUACCUUGUAUUUAUUUUGCAAACAUUGUUAUAUAUAUAUGAAGCUUCCUCAAACCCGCGAGAAGCCUCAAGAUAGGAAGAUAGAGGAAGGAUAGAAGUUCUGUAUGCCGCGAGGGGGAUGGCGGAGCCCACUUAGAGAUAUGAGGUGGCAGGAAUGAGUCAGAAAUCCAGGCCUUAUUAAUUAUCAAGGAGCCACAGCAGAAACUCCGAUCAGUGGACUACUCAGAAGGCUUAUACCUGUCCAGUGAUCCAAAUUUAAUACCACACAGGUCGGAGACAUGAUAGAGAAAAGAGAGUGCCUGGCCAAAAGCCAGGUCCCAGGUGAGAGAGGUAGAUCAGGAAAGGAAUCAAAGAUGGAGCUUGGCCAGAGGCCAAGCUCCAGCAAGGACAGGCAUCAGUGAGAGCUGAGAUCCAAGUGAAAGAGAGAGAAGAGAGGCGGAGCUUGCUGUGGCACGGUAUUUAAUCUCUUUGAUAUGCAAAUAUACACAAUACAUAGAGAUAAUUAUCAUUGGUCAAUGACAAGGUAUAGGUGUGGUUUCUCUUAGCCAGGUGAACACAAAGAAACCUGUUUUCCUGACUAACCUGGGGGAAUCUGGGGUCAAGGGUCAGAGGCUUUCCCAGCCAUGUGCAAGACUGAGCAUGCUCAAGACUGAACAUGCUCUCUUCUAAGCCAUUCUGUACAUACUAACUGUUUCCCUUGCCCAUAGCUAGGGGUGGACUGCUACUUCUCCCCCUUUUUGUUUAACAUAACAAUAAGUAGUGCAAUAUCAAAAUGUAACAACAUUAUAGCAUUAACAAAUACAAACACUCUGGUGCAUAAUCAUAUCCAGAUACAGAGAUGAAAAACCAAACCAGAUUGUAGAACUUAGAUAUAAAAAUCAAGUGUGAACAUCAGCAUAAACUGAUUCAGUGAUCAAUCUAAAAAACCUAAACUGAUCUUUUUUUCUACCUGUCUGCAUAUCAAAAUCAAUGUAACAGUCUUAGUAGAUAUAAAAAUGUUAAGAAAAUAAUUUUCACUCUACUGAUCCUGGUUUAAUGAGGUAGAAUUCUAUGGCUCACAUGACAGGUGCACUAAUCAAACAUGCCACCUUUCACAGUCUGGACUAUCAGAAGUUGGCAGUCUUUUCAACAGUUAGCAAAAUACUAUCUCUGGAGAUGAAGGAUAAGUCCUUCCUCUCUCGUACUGAUACUGUAUCUUGGGGAUCUAUUCAUGUUCACUUCCAGAUGCCUGCCACAUAGGAAACUGGUUGGUAGCUCGAUGCCAGGACAUCCAGCAACUGAGAGCGUCAGUGUGCCAUGUCUCUGCAUUUCCCAACCUCAAACAUCCAUUUCAUAUGGAAAAUGCAUAAGCGUGACUAAGUCUGUCUGGUCCAUAAUGAAAGAUUCAUUAUGAUUCCUGUUUCAUGCAAUCAGACAUCACUCUCCAGAAUAGUCAUCUGAAAAUUAACAAAUACUGUCAUGUUCUCGUAGUCUCAUACUUCCACGUAGCUGAAACAGUAACAUACUUGCACCUUUGUAAUCCUGGAUCAGAGCAUCAACAGUACUUUCCUUGUACUUAAAAUUCUGGCAAUAAUUGUGCAACAGAAAAAUCAAAAUUGAAUACUUGAAAAUGAAUCAAAAGUGUUCUCUCAAAUGAACAUACUGAUAUCUAUAAGAUUCUUCUCCCUUUUCUUUUUGUUUGUGUGUUGGGAGAGAUCUCUUCAAAGAAAAACAUCCUCUCUGAACAAUUCUGGAGGACCAUGUAUAUAACAUAUCAAAUGAUCUUAGAAAAUGAUCCUGGGAACCUGAUCCCAAAAUUAAUACAAAAUUCUAGAUUCUUGGCUCACUGUUUAUGUGGUAUCUUUGAAACUGAGCCAAUGUGUAAUAUCAGAACUUAUAUUCCAAAUGGUUUCUAAUUCCUGAUCUAAAUAGAUCAAAAUUUGCCUUGUAUAUGAACAUAAUUUUGCACCAUUAAAGGCCUUGCAAAAAUAUUAAUACAACAAUUAUUGUGCAAUUUUUAACAAAUACCAAUAUUCCCAUACACUUUACAUUCUGAUUUGUAGCUUAAAUAACCAUGAUGAUGAUAAUGAAGUAAUAUUUCAAGUUCCAACUGCAUAUUUCUCAUAUCAUUCUUAUUUAAAUCUCUGCUUGUAUAAAUAAACCCAUCAAUAUGAUAACCAAGCAUAUAACAUUACCAAUGUUUGCAAAAUUCAUUCUACCAAACCAAUGUUUGGCAUAAGUUGUUUUUCACAUAGGAACAAUUUCUACAGUUUCUUGUACCUAUAGAAUUUGACAUAGCUUUUUCAUUCCUAGUUGUCAAUGUAUAAUAUUCAAUGUGCUUUUUCUACAAGCUUAUCCGUGCCUAUUGUGUCAUGUUUUCAAUACAUACCCCAGAAAAGUAAAACUUAAAUUAUACUUUGCCCUUGCUCCAUGCAUUUGUGUAUAAUAAUUUGUUCCACCUAGGAGAGACAAUGACUGCGCGUCCACAGAAAUUGUCAAACCCAGAGUCCUCAGUGUGCUCCUGAGGUCUUACUUCUAUAUACCAGAACGUCUUCCAGUAUAUGAAAGGGAAGCCAAUAGACCCCGAAUCCAGAGGCCAUCUGAAUUUUGGGACUGUUAGGAUAGAGCAAGAAAUUGUUCCUAUCAAGAUAUUACCCACAAAGACAGGGUAUCGGGAGUAAUGGUUAACAAUGGCAUUAACACUUAACUACACCUAUGGUAGUCAGCCCGUAAUGUCCAUCCAGGUAUUGUCAGUAACAUAAGCUUUGUCUGGAUGUCAAUGAUCUUUUACAAUAACUCGAGGUUCCUGAUUAAAGAUUUCAUAGUGCAUUUUGCCUGAUCUCUCAUCCUUUCUUGAGAGUAACAUCAGUAUCAUCUGUCCAUUAAACAUGCCUGUGCAGCAUUUUUUGCUUAGCACCUCAUGUUUGUUGUCAGAGGUAUCAGAUCUAUGCUAUGAAUGAAAGUUUUCUAUUUCCUACUCUUUGGAGAGUCAUACGAAUGUCUAUACCCUUGUUGAUAGGAGCAUUUCUUACAAUACAAGUAGUAGUUUUACAGUGCAUACAAAAUAAAUUCCUUUUGACAGUCUCAUAUACAAAAUACAAGGUAUACAUUAGUAGCUAAACAAUUGUAGCUAUUUCAUCUCAAUCCCAUAGUAAAGUCUUUGGAGUGUGGGAUAUAUCUGGUGUCUUAUAUAGACAUGAGUGUGUCUUAGUCCUUCUGAGUUAACAUCCUUGAUGUUGUUCUGGGUACCACAUAUCAAUGGAUGUCAGCAUGACAAGUGUCUAUCAGUAGCCUAAUAGCAAAUGUCUCUAAUAGUGUAAUGUCAUUGUUCUGGAGUGAUAUUAGUCACCAGAGAAGUGUCCUUCCAGCAUGCCUGGAUUGCUGCUGGCAUGUAGAUAGCUGAUGUCAACAGCGUCCGUCUGCUUCUCUUCCUGACCUGUGUCAGCUGGCAUGAAGCAUGACAUGGGUGACCAGAUGUUUUCAUUAUCUGUGAACAUACAAACAAGACCUCGACCUAACGUUAUUAUCCCCUUGGGUCCCUUACAGUCUUAAUCUCUUGUGAUAUUCAGCCCAAAUCAGGUAUAUCAUACAAUGUAAUCUUUAACAUUAUAUUCAAACUGUUAUUACAGUAUUAGCUCAUAUUCAUUUUAGGGUGAGGAGGAGCUAGAUGGUUAGUGAUACCAUAUCCACCCUUGUUUCUUAUGAAAGUUGAAAUGCCAUAGCUAACAAAAUUGACUUUUAGAUAAGUCUGAUUCUAAUGAAGACAUGCUGUUGUUUGCACAUAUAAUUGACCCUUUAAGACAAUAAUCAUAUAAACAUUUUGGAUAGGAACAACAGUUUGUACUGCAAUUGGACAGUAUUCAGUGUGGGGUCAUAACAUUCACAAUUGCACCCUUUGAUAUUUGAUCAAAGUUGGCUAACAUGGAACAAUUCCAAUAAAAUAAUUGUAAGUUACAUAUUGUACCAAUACCAUUCAAAAUUUUCAGUCAUGUGAUAAAGUUAGAUCUUAUGACAAAUACCCAUAUAUUCAUAGAACAGAAUAUCUGUCAGUGACUUAACGAUAUUCUUCUGCAUGUAAAUAGUUUUUCAUACAAGUACAUUUGUGUGAAUAGUGUGUUAGACCUGCCUAUAGGGCAGUGAUGAUCUUUCCAGCUCAUUUGCUGUUUUCCUGGUGUCCUGUGCCAGACACCUCUGCAGUCUGUCCUUUUUCUGGGCAGAUUUUCUUGCCAUCAGAUGCUCUUGGUCAUCUUCCAUGGACUUCAGGUAUCUGAGAAAAUAGACAUAAAAUCUCGACCCCAAAUGAAAGCCUCAUUGGAUUUUGUAGAGUUAGAAAGUGACAGAACAUAUAUACCUUCAGUUUUUGAACCUUGGGGCUCAUAAAUGCCUUUGAGCUCUAUUUACCAUAGCUUGCAUUUAAGCCAUGAGCUAUCCAAUUCAGCCCAUGCAUUGCUGUUAAAAGCACUGCUCUCCCAAGCUGUUUGGAAUAGACAAUUGCGCACAAUUAUUUACAAGAUCUGUAACCACUUUGCUCACUUCUUCAUUUGAGCUUGAACCCAUAAACCAGGAGAGUAAGUACCUCCUAUCAUUUCUCACAGUUCAACCUUUAUGCCAGGAGCAUGUUGAAAUGCAUCCUUUGCUCUAAAAUAUGCAGUAGAUAGCUAUCAGGGGUGGAAUUAAUCCACAACAGUUUGCAUUGAUAAGCAAUAUCACAUGCUUGUACAGGAUAUAGAUGUACAAUAAAUUUGGCCCUCUGCUAGAGCAGAGAAUGCUAGCAGCUGUGCGCUCAAAGCAAGCCGUUCUGCAGCUAUUUGUGUGUGCCUUUGCAAACCAGCAUGCAUAGAUGCUUAACCAUUUGCCUUUUCAGACCCGUAAUCAUAAAACCAUCACACCAUAAAUCAUGUAUGAUUUCACCCAUGUGUGCUGGGAUUUGUCUGUCUGCACACAAUUUUUGCUUUUUGAAGAAAUUCAUAUUGUGCAAUCAUUAAAAUUGUAGCAUUGUCUUGUGCUAUAAAAGUAUGCACAGCAUUAUCAAACAGUUGCACAGGAGUUAUUAUUUCUGAACUAUUGCAGUUAACUUCAUAACUGAAAAGAUCUUGAUACUGUGACUAGGAUUAUUACCUUCAUCUGCCAAUUCUGCAAACCUUCACUGCAAAAAUAGAUCACAUUGUGCAAGUAACAUUUGAAUUUGCAUUAUUAUCAUAGGUCUCAUUUCAAUAUCAUGAUCAGCUUCAAUAUCUGUAAUUUGAGUACAUGGCAGUAUUGCCCAUUUCAAAUCAUUAAUAAAUCACUGUACUGAUUGACAAAUUACUUGAUAACUUUAGUAAUUAACUACUGGUAAACAGAUUGAAUCCUUCUAACCAUGCUUUCACUCUGCUGAGCAUGUGUCUUAGUUUUCAUAGUUGAAGCUAUUCUAGUUAUAAAUCAUUUGCUUUCUGGAUACAGGUGCAUUAAUGUGCCUCACAAAAAGUUUCUGAACUGCAUACAGGUUGUUUGAAUAAUCUCUGCCCAAGUUUUGUCUUGGUGCCCUUAUGUCCUGCUUAGGAAAGUGUUAAUAAUUCCUCCAUAGUUAAAAUGAGAAAGCAUUAUAAAUUCCUUUAAAUCAUAUUCCAAUUCAUGCUUAUCAUAUCUUAGUAUUAAAUUUUCCUUCUGGUUAAUUACAGCGUUAGUGAUAAAAACUUGCCGGGAUGCUGCCUUCCACGUGGCUUCAGGUAAGCCAUGUGGCUGAGAGAGAAAAAAGUUUCAUGCAGCUUUAUAUUUAAGCCCAAACCUUAAAAUUAAUGUUUGCACUUUACCUGGUAAUUUAUGCCAAAAUUCCAUUGCAGAGAAAACAUUUCUAGUCCUGAUAUUCUGUAGCAUAUGACAAAAGUCAGAGAAAGAUUUUUAUCUGUUUAACUCCUCUAUCAAGAAAUAUAAGCAGACAUUCCUUUACAAUUUUGCCUUGUCCAACCCAAAUUAGAAAGAUUUGAGUUUUUUAAAAUUCACUUUACCCUCUUUAAAGUCAGAGUUUUCCUUCAACAAAAGCCUGCCUUUACCUGGCCGGACCUCAAACAAAGGAUUUCCUAGGACCCUUUUCAAAUGCUAAAGUUGUGGCGCGGUUAGCUGAUAAGAAAAGCAGUUUGCCCUGUCCCGGACUACAGAAUCAUAAAAUAUCUUUUCAAACUAGGCUUUUUAAAAGUAACUCAGGAUUAUUACCUUGAUUUAUUAAUUUUGCUGAUACCUGUGGUUUUAUUAGAAAAAGUUUUUAGAAAUUAUCUCUGUUGCCAAUUGAUUCUGAUUCCUUUCUCCUUUAGCUAAAUGAACUUGAUUAACAUACUGCUCAUUUGCAUUUGUUUAGAAGCCUGAGUCUUUGAGCCUUUGUCUUAGAACCCGGUAACUUUGAAUUUGCACUUUUCUAAUGAAAUCUUAACUCCUGCUUUUUCUUUUCCUACCUGCUCUGUUUGAAACUCACUAUGCCAAGGUAAUUCUGGUAGAAUUAUGCUUUGUGGUGAACUGCCUGUUGUAGAUAAAGGAGAUUUCCCAAGUUACAGAAAUUGUGUCAGUGAGAGGUUGGGGGUGGGGUUACAGCCUUCAUGGCUUCAGAAGUCCUUUGCUAAAGUCAGAUCCAGCUGACAGCUACCAAUCGCUGUGGUGAGGUUUUGCUGGGUUGAAAUUCUCCCCUUCCUCCCCCACCUCAGACUUAGCCUCAGGUUAGCAAGCCUGUAGUAUUGUAUUUGUUUCAAAGGAGAGGAAAUCUCUGAGCUUUUAAAUUGGUAUCUCCCUGGCCAGCUCCUGCCUGUUCCUGCUUUGUGCUGAAGCCCGUGGCUUUGUUUCCUGCGUUUGAGAAAUUGCUUUAUCUCCAGAACUACAAGUUUGGAAAGGAAAUCUCCUUCUCCUUAAGAAGAUGUGGGUAAAACAUGAAUAAGGCUAGAUGAAGAGAGGAGGAAAAGAGGCCCAAUAUUCCAAAUGGGCAAAGAAUCCAAGAAGUUAAGUGAAAGAUCUCAUGCCAUGGCCCAGUGGAGAGAGCUUAUAGCGGAGGGACCUCAAGUCAAAAAGCUACCCAGAAGUCAUCACACGCAGGAUUCAGGCCAGUGAAUGCUUUCCUGAGACAUUUCAGCAUCAUGUUGGCAACAUCCCAGUAUCAGAUUUGGAGAAGGCCAGAGGACAAGAGUGCCCUGACUCCACUGCUGGAAAUCAUCCUUCUGGUGAACUCAGAUGAACUGUGGGCAGAUGCUGGAGUUCUGUAGAGAUGCUGCGUGUGAGAGGCGACUCUGGCUGGCAGCUUGCUAGGCGUUCCGACCAUCUUGGAGUGGUGGCAGUUAUUUUCUCUGGGUUUUGCGGAAGUCAUAUUUUGUCAAGAACAGAUGAACUUGAACCCAAAGAAGCUUGGAUUCCACUGUAACCUCAGAAACCACAAAAAUUGAAGAAAUUUGGAAGUAAGUAAAAAUUCGUGCGUCCCAUCUAUAGUGUAUAAUGUUUCAAUAUCUCAUUGGAAUCUGUGACUUUUUAGUGUCAUCUCCAUCUUAGCAUCUUGAUACACAGACACAUGAUGGAACUUGGGAACACCAUCAUUAGAAGACAGUUUUCUGAAAAUUACUUUUUAAUUUCUAAUUUAACCCUUGAAAAUAGCUGGCCAGAUCCACAAAGAUCUCCUCUGUGCUCAGUGCUCAUUUAGAGGACAAAGGAAGUUAAGGGAAUAGUAUUAGGCUAAAAGAUAUUUGGAUUAUUAAUUAUAGUAGUCCUAUUGUAAUUUCUCCAGACUAUGCAUGCAUUCAUUCAUUCAUUCAAUUACUCUUUAUUUCAUUGAUUCAUUCAUAAGGAGUAUUUAAAGUAGAGGCAUAACUGAAUGGCCAAAGCCCUCAGGAUUUCUGGUGGCACCAUUAGUAAAUGUUUUUGGCACAGUUACAUGCUCUAUGUACCAAAGCAUCAGCAAGGUAAGCCUGAGCAGGAAGAGUAAGAAAACAUGGAAAGGAUGAAGAAUGGCUAGAGUGGCCCAUCCUUCUGGGGUUGUAAUUACCAGCCCUUUUUCUCCUCCUCCUCUGCCAGAUAAGGAAUCUCACACAAGAGUGUUCUGGCCAUGUCUAUGAAACCUUAUGGCUCUUUUGGAUAUAUGAAUAGGAGAUGCCUUGUUAAAGGAGAAUGUUUAAGAUUGGGCUUUGCUGAAUUAGAUUAAAAAAAUAAUUAAAGUAUAAGUAGUAUUUCAUAUUCUCUAUAUCUGUCAAUUGCUAAAGAUUAAAUGCAAGGUGGAGAUUUUAUUCCCUAACUCCUUUCAGCUCACUUAGUAACAGGAUAUAAUCACAGAUGAUGAAGUGGUACUAUGCCAACAAUGUGCUAACAUAUUGUUAUCCCUUUACAUUGUGUGAAUACCUUUCUCUGAUAAAAUUUGAAGGGGCAAGACUAUUGGAUGGGUUGAAAAUAUUCCAGCCGCCUGGAGGUUUUACUAUCAAUGGAGUAAGGGAUAUUUGGAUAUAAUAUAUAUAUAAUUAUAUUAUAUAUAUAUAUAUAUAUAUAUAUAUAUAUAAGGAUAUAAAAGAUACCUUUAAAGUCAAAAGGUGAGAUGUCUUCUUUGACAUUAUGCUUCUUUGUAAUUGGGUAACAUUCACUUUCAGUUAGUUUCAGACUAUUAUUCUUUCUCUUUGAACUGUUUCUGUCAAUGCGUAUAUUUUUUUGUCUCACAUCAUUUCAUGUACAUUUUAAAGCAUUUCUCUGUAUUCAUCUAACAAUAAUUUCAAAGAAUAAUGGAAAGAUGGGUAUCCUUGCUUUAUUCCUGUAUCUACUGGGAAAUAUUCUAGUGUAUGAUGCUUGAUACCUUCAAUUAUAAUAAAAAGAACCUUUCUAUACCUGAAUAUAUUUUGUAAAGUUUUUUAAUAGCAUAAGUGAGUAUUGUAUUUAAUUAAUUUUUUCUAUAUCUAUCAAGAUAAAAUGUGAUUUGGUAUUUCUUGAAAUUUUAUAUGAUUUGCAUUGUAUUCCUAUUGCUAGAACAUCAUCAAUGAGAUUUGUCUGAAGUUAUCCAUCUGUCCUUUGUCCUUCCAUGGUUUAAGUAUUAGGAUUCUAUUAGUCUCAUCAAUAGUCCCUUUCAAAGCAAGUUCUUUCUCAGUUUUUGACAGUGUAAUAUUGUUAUUAUCUAUUCAUUAAAAAAUUGAUAGAAUUUUUCUUUGAUUUUUUCCAGGAGUUUAAUUUUUUCUUUCAUAGUUUCUUUAUAACUAAUCCAAUUUCCUUUUCUAAGAUUGGGAUCAUUUAAGAUUUCUUGAUUGUCUUCUAUUAGUUUGCUUAUUUUCUUAUUGAAGGUAUUCUAUUUCU